rnacentral:rRNA from 1 species
CCUACGGGAGGCAGCAGUAGGGAAUCUUCCACAAUGGGCGCAAGCCUGAUGGAGCAACACCGCGUGAGUGAAGAAGGGUUUCGGCUCGUAAAGCUCUGUUGUUGGAGAAGAAUGUGCGCGAGAGUAACUGUUCACGCAGUGACGGUAUCCAACCAGAAAGUCACGGCUAACUACGUGCCAGCAGCCGCGGUAAUACGUAGGUGGCAAGCGUUAUCCGGAUUUAUUGGGCGUAAAGCGAGCGCAGGCGGUUGCUUAGGUCUGAUGUGAAAGCCUUCGGCUUAACCGAAGAAGUGCAUCGGAAACCGGGCGACUUGAGUGCAGAAGAGGAUAGUGGAAUUCCCAGUGUAGCGGUGGAAUGCGUAGAUAUUGGGAAGAACACCAGCGGCGAAGGCGAUUCACUGGACUGUAACUGACACUGAGGCACGAAAGCGUGGGGAGCAAACAGGAUUAGAUACCCGUGUAGUC